AGUAGAAUAGCUGAAUCAUAUGUGCACACAUAUUUUACUUUUUAGGAAACUGCCAAACUGUUUUCCAAUAUGGUUAUACAUGUUACAUUUUUUUAAGUUGU
rnacentral:pre_miRNA from 1 species